GCCAAUUCAAUGGCGUCUUGAGGAUAAUUUCCAGGGACGCCGGAACUGGGGGGGGGCAGGAGGGGCAGCCGCCCCCAUUGCCCUUUACCAGGAGGGGCAAGGGGGGGCAAAGGUGCCCUUUCAAUUUAAAGGAUUGCCUUGGCGAAAUAGCGAAUUGUCAGAAAUGUUAGUGCGAUUCUUUUACGAAUUUGCUUCAGAAAAUGCAAGAAAUGCAGUCAUCGAGCUUCAAGAAUAGCACAAUCGCCUGGCGGAGAACCCCCUCACACCCCUAUCAUCCAAUAAAUAGAAAACAUGAUUAGGCGAAGUUCAACUCCCGAUGUUUUGCAAACAUCUCUUAGUAUACGGUAUAUCAAUUCAAAGGUGCCCUUUCACGAAAAUCUGCCCCCCCCCCCUUGCCUUCACAUUGUUCCGGCGUCCCUGAUAAUUUCUUUGUUAUUGUUUAAGCUAGAUUCUCGUAAAAAGUAGUGUCUUGCAAACUUUUUGUUGACCUCUUUCUAUUUUCGCUGUUUUUUUUCGAUCAGUAACUUGGAAACUUCUUGAACAUUUAACGUUGCGAACCCUUUUUAUUUUUUAUUGAAAUAACCCGACGGCUUCAAGAUACCGAGAAUACCCUUACGCGUUUUGACCAAUUACGAACGAGAAUAGACUUUGAAUAUUAAUGAUUCAAAUAAUCGAUGAGUUAGCAUACUUUGUGUCUUGUGACUGACUCCCAUCAGAAAUGCCAACGACAUCAGUUCCACAUCGUCUUUUAUACGGAAAAUCCCCGUGGCCAUAAAUAACAAUGACAUCAUAGUUUCCCGUAUGUUGUAAUUGCCC